rnacentral:rRNA from 1 species
UUCUGGGAGGAUUGACAGAUUGAGAGCUCUUUCUUGAUUCGGAGGAUGGUGGUGCAUGUCCGUUCUUAGUUGGGGCAGCGAUUUGUCUGGUUAAUUCCGAUAACGAACGCGAUUUUGUCUAAUAAAUAGGUGCCUGGUUCUCUGCACCUUGCACCCUUCUCAGAGGGACAAGCGACUUCUAGCCGCACGACACAGAGCAAUAACAGGUCUGUGAUGCCCUUAAAU